rfam:Tenacibaculum dicentrarchi strain AY7486TD, complete genome.
CCCUAGCCCCGAUUGAAGCGAUUGUUUGAGCUCUUUUUUGUUUUUUUUAAACAAAAAAAGCGAGUGCGGAAAGCGGGAAAUAGC